rnacentral:rRNA from 1 species
AUUGAACGCUGGCGGCAGGCCUAACACAUGCAAGUCGAACGCGUGGCGGACGGGUGAGUAAUGUCUGGGAAACUGCCUGCUGGAGGGGGAUCACUACUGGAAACGGUAGCUAAUACCGCAUACCAUCAGAUGUGCCCAGAUGUGAUUAGCUAGUUGGUGGGGUAACGGCUCACCCAGGCGACGAUCCCUAGCUGGGCUGAGAGGAUGACAAGCCAAACUGGAACUGAGACACGGUCCAGACUACUACGGGAGGCAGCAGUGGGGAAUAUGGCACAAUGGGCGCAAGCCUGAUGCAGCCAUGCCGCGUGUAUGAAGAAGGCCUUCGGGUUGUAAAGUACUUUCAGCGGGGAGGCGUUACACGCAGAAGAAGCACCGGCUAACUCCGUGCCAGCAGCCGCGGUAAUUC